rnacentral:rRNA from 1 species
ACAGAGGGUGCGAGCGUUAAUCGGAAUUACUGGGCGUAAAGCGUGCGUAGACGGUUGCGUAAGUCAGAUGUGAAAGCCCCGGGCUCAACCUGGGAAUUGCAUUUGAGACUGCGUAGCUAGGGUGCGGAAGAGGGAAGCGGAAUUUCCGGUGUAGCGGUGAAAUGCGUAGAGAUGUGGAGGAACACCAGUGGCGAAGGCGGCUUUCUGGUCUGUAACUGACGCUGAGGCGCGAAAGCGUGGGGAGCAAACAGGA